UGGCACCACCUGCACUGCCUGCAGCUUCUGUUGCACCUGGGGCAGAGCUACGCUUGGCUGCUGACACCUAUGAGAAGGCAGGUAUGGUGGACCUUCUGAAAAGCUGAAGUCCUGAAUAGAACAAAAAGGCUCACCGUCCCAUGAAUAGAGAGAACUCCUCCUGCCUGACUGCUGUGAGCUGGGACAUCCAUUGUUUUCUGUUUUUUGGAUUUGAACUGAAACAUCAGCUCUUCCUUGAUCCUGAACCUGCUGGCUUUCUGAUGGGAACUUGCACCAACAGCUCUCCUAGUUCUCAGGCCUUUGGACUUGGACUGGAAUUACACCAUCAAAUCUCCUGGGUCUCCAGCUUGCCAUCUGCAGAUCUUGGAACUUCUUAGCCUCCACAUCCUGUGAGCCAAUUCCUUAUAAGUCUCUUUAUAAAUAUAUACAUCCA
rnacentral:lncRNA from 1 species